AAUCUUACCUAGAGGGGUGCUAUUCUGCACAAUUGUGCAGGUGGGGCUCCUAGGUCAGGCUCAUCUAUUGCACUCCAGCUGUGCAGUCCUGUAACUCUUCUCAAAUGCAGGAAACUCAACUUCAUAAUGUGGUAGAAAAAUCCAUCCAUGAGACA
rnacentral:snRNA from 1 species